rnacentral:rRNA from 1 species
AUUGAACGCUGGCGGCAUGCCUUACACAUGCAAGUCGAGCGGUAACAGGUCUUCGGAUGCUGACGAGUGGCGAACGGGUGAGUAAUACAUCGGAACGUGCCCGAUCGUGGGGGAUAACGGAGCGAAAGCUUUGCUAAUACCGCAUACGAUCUACGGAUGAAAGCAGGGGACUGCAAGGCCUUGCGCGGACGGAGCGGCCGAUGGCGGAUUAGGUAGUUGGUGAGAUAAAAGCUUACCAAGCCGACGAUCUGUAGCUGGUCUGAGAGGACGACCAGCCACACUGGGACUGAGACACGGCCCAGACUCCUACGGGAGGCAGCAGUGGGGUAUUUUGGACAAUGGGCGAAAGCCUGAUCCAGCCAUGCCGCGUGCAGGAUGAAGGCCUUCGGGUUGUAAACUUCUUUUGUACGGAACGAAAAGACGCUUUCUAAUAAAGAGGGUCCAUGACGGUACCGUAAGAAUAAGCACCGGCUAACUACGUG